CGCAUGAGGUGGCCAAAGCACUGGAGUUUCAGCUUCAGCAUCAUUCCUUCUAUAGUGUUUUUUAAAAAGAUAUCAGAUCUGUCUUCAGACUAAGGAGCAGUUUGUCUUUAUCAACUAUUAUGAUGAUAACAACAGUGAUUUAAAUAAAAUAUAAAGCAACAUAUUCUCUGUUAUGGACUGACCUAUAUCCCUCACUCCCUGAAUUUAUGUUAGAUCCUUUAGUCCCUAACAUGACUGUAUUUGGAGAUGGGCCCUUUAAAAAGACAAUUAAGAUUAAAUAAGAUUAUAAAGGUGGGUUCUUAAUCCAGUAUGACCAAAUUCUCCUUAAAUUAAUAGGGAAGGACUCCAGGGAGGCUUGCACACAGCAAAAAGUCUAUGUGAGCACACAACAAAAAGCAGCUAUUGACAAGCCAAGGAGAGUGGGCUCAGGAAAAACCCUGCCAACACCAUGUUCUUAAAUUAUUGUCUCUAGAACUGUGAAAAACAUAAAAUUUUGUUGUUUAGUCCAUUCUCUCCUCAAAGACGUUCAAAAUAAUUACUUUAAUAGUUAUUGUUUCAUGGUGAUGAUUCUUUAAUUUCCAAAAAAGUGAGAAUUUUUUAUUAUUUAUGUAUAUAAUAUAUAUAGAUAUAGCUGUAUAUAUAUAGCAUAUAUCCUUUGCCUAUUAACAUUAGCUAUAUUAACACAUUUCUAUCAAUUUUGUAUUAACAUUUCACUUCAGUUGAUAGAGAAAUUUUCAAAAUUAUGCAUGUAUAUGACAUAUGCCUUGCCAUUUUGAAGUUAGGAAGAUAAUAUCAAAGGUAUACUAAAUAGUAAGUUAAAGAGUCUUCUUAGGCCAAGGAUAUUAAUCCUGUUUUUGAUUCUAGGUCCUUUCAUUCUUCUUUUCUUGGGCUUCCUUUGUUUUGAAGUGUGUAGCACAUAAUAUUUCCCCCAAAAAUACAUACUAAAAAUUGAAUUAGCAAAAAAAUUAUCAUUUUGCCCUUUAGUAUAAAGAAAUAUGUUGCCUUCUUAUUUAUACUUUUCUUGACAUAAUUUACUUCAGGCCUUCAUCAUAACUUGUUUGAACUAUUACAAAAUCUUCAUGAGUAGUCUAAUUUUCUUCAUUCAUUUUACUAAUGACAAAAUCGCUUUCUUCAUUUCAGUUCAGUU
rnacentral:lncRNA from 1 species